GGAAGUGUGGCCGAGUGGUUGAAGGCGCACGACUCGAAAUCGUGUGGGCUCGCAAGAGUCUCGGAGGUUCGAAUCCUCUCGCUUCCGCCA
rnacentral:tRNA from 1 species